GACGAACGCUGGCGGCGUGCUUAACACAUGCAAGUCGAACGGAAAGGCCUGCUUUCCCUUGUGGAUUGCGGGUACUCGAGUGGCGAACGGGUGAGUAACACGUGAGUGAUCUGCCCCCAACUUGGGUAUAAGCCUGGGAAACUGGGUCUAAUUCCCGAUAGGACUGCAGGGUGGUGCCUGUGGUGGAAAACGAUUUUCUAGUGGUUGGGGAUGAGCUCGCGGCCUAUCAGCUUGUUGGUGGGGUAAUGGCCUACCAAGGCGGCGACGGGUAGCCGGCCUGGGAGGGGGGACGGCCACAUUGGGACUGAGAUACGGCCCAGACUCCUACGGGAGGCAGGAGUGGGGAAUAUUGCACAAUGGGCGGAAGCCUGAUGCAGCGACGCCGCGUGGGGGAUGACGGCCUUCGGGUUGUAAACUCCUUUCGACCGCGAGGAAGCCACCUGGUUGGAAGGGUGGUGACGGUAGUGGUAGAAGAAGCACCGGCUAACUACGUG
rnacentral:rRNA from 1 species